rnacentral:rRNA from 1 species
CUGGAUGCUGACGAGCGGCGGACGGGUGAGUAACGCAUAGGAAUUUACCCGGUAGUGGGGGAUAACCUGGGGAAACUCAGGCUAAUACCGCAUACGUCCUACGGGAGAAAGGGGGCUUUGGCUCCCGCUAUCGGAUGAGCCUAUGCCGGAUUAGCUGGUUGGUGAGGUAAUGGCUCACCAAGGCGACGAUCCGUAGCUGGUCUGAGAGGAUGAUCAGCCACAUCGGGACUGAGACACGGCCCGAACUCCUACGGGAGGCAGCAGUGGGGAAUAUUGGACAAUGGGGGCAACCCUGAUCCAGCCAUGCCGCGUGUGUGAAGAAGGCCCUCGGGUUGUAAAGCACUUUCAGCGAGGAAGAACGCCUAUCGGUUAAUACCCGGUAGGAAAGACAUCACUCGCAGAAGAAGCACCGGCUAACUCCGUGCCAGCAGCCGCGGUAAUACGGAGGGUGCAAGCGUUAAUCGGAAUUACUGGGCGUAAAGCGCGCGUAGGUGGCUUGAUAAGCCGGUUGUGAAAGCCCCGGGCUCAACCUGGGAACGGCAUCCGGAACUAUCAGGCUAGAGUGCAGGAGAGGAAGGUAGAAUUCCCGGUGUAGCGGUGAAAUGCGUAGAGAUCGGGAGGAAUACCAGUGGCGAAGGCGGCCUUCUGGACUGACACUGACACUGAGGUGCGAAAGCGUGGGUAGCAAACAGGAUUAGAUACCCUGGUAGUCCACGCCGUA